rnacentral:rRNA from 1 species
UACGUAGGCAGCGAGCGUUGUUCGGAGUUACUGGGCGUAAAGCGUGCGUAGGCGGUGUCUUAAGUUUGUUGUGAAAUCUCCCGGCUUAACCGGGAGGGUGCGGCGAAUACUGAGAUGCUGGAGUGCCGGAGAGGUAAGCGGAAUUCCUGGUGUAGCGGUGAAAUGCGUAGAUAUCCGGAGGAACACCGGUGGCGAAGGCGGCUUCCUGGACCGAUUACUGACGCUGAGGCGCGAAAGCUAGGGGAGCAAACGGG